rnacentral:SRP_RNA from 1 species
GGAUGGUCCCCCCGCAGCGAUAGGUGAUGAACCCCGCCAGGCCCGGGAGGGAGCAACGGUAGUUACUGAUUCGGGUGCCGGGGUGUGGCUGUCCGAG